CGUGAGGGGAGGUGCAGGGAGGAGGUGCCUGGAUCUGCGCCUCCCACUCGCUCCUUCUCUCUGGAAAGACGCAAAGGGCUCCCUGCUGCACCAGUUGAUCACUUGAGCAGGGGAGAAGGGGGGGUGAGGUUAAAAGGAAGAUGGGUAUCCUCUGGCACUCAAAAGAUUAAGCACCUUAUACUGAACUAAUGCACUUUAUUGAGAUGGGAUUUGAAUAGUUAUUUUUUUUUUCCAUGUGUGUGAAUGUGAGAGCGUUUGGAAUCAGUGCGCGUGCGGGAUGUGUGUUCAUACACAUCUGUGUGCAUGUGCAUCAGAACUGGAAGGGGGCGGUGACACAGUCAGUGGGGUGAAUGGUCGGGCUGUGAGGUUUUCAAAGUCAGGGGGACCUUUAGUUGAAACCUUAUCAGAGAGCAAAUCCUUUCUCAAAAGACAAACACUGUUGAUAUUUCUCUUGUUUAGCAUUUUUUUACGUUUAUAUAAAAAGUAAAGCUAUUGAAAAAUGGAUUAUAAAAAAACUUGAAGAUUUGCACUUGCCUAAAAAAGAAAUAACAAAACAACAAAAAAAAAUCAAACAAAUGGGGGUUAGUUAUAGAAGUGAAUAUUUUUUUAUGAAUGUGUGUGAAUGACUGAGUGAGUGAGUGAUGUGAGAUGGUUGGUUUGUGUCAGUAAUAUACCAGUCUGCACAAUGUUUCUUUUUCUUUUGUUGCUUACCAAGAUGUAUGAAACAUAAGAGGCCAUUUUUUGUCUUUUUUUUGUUUUGUUUUGUUUAAAUGGUAAUUUUGUAUUCUCAUGUCUACAGCAUGUAUGUGCGUGCGUGUCCCUUCUCCAAACAGGGACUUGAUCUCCAUGUUUUGAGUGAGUAUGAAUGCGAGAGAGAGACAGAGAGAGAGAGGGCAAUUGCACAACACAUCCUUUCUCUCACCAGCUCUUCUUCCCCAGUUAGACAAAUUUUGAAAACGCAUACAUUUGUAAAUGUCAGCUUUCUCGCUCAUAACCUGAUGACCACCACUAGUUUAUUUCCCUUAGCUUCUCCCCAUUGGGAGCUGUCUCUGGACCUGUGAGGACUGGUAGACAGGGCGAAUCAUGAGGGACAUUACUGUGUGUGCAUCUGAAUGAGACGUGUGUGUGAGAGAGAGAGAGAGUGCAUGUUCAUUUAUUGUUCAUAGAAAUGAGUUGAGACUACAGGUACUCAUUUUGAAUACAUGUGCUUUUUUUGUAUGUGUAUGAAUGCACAUUUGUGCCUAAGAACUUGGAUAGGGUGCAUGGCCAUUGAGACAUUAACUCUUUUUUGAGAGCAGGUGUGACGUGUGUCAGUGCUCAGCACAGUGUAUGUAAAGUAUGAAAGUUUGUAUCGUAAAUAAUUCUAGUUCAGUCUAGGGGUGAUCCAUCGGAAGGUUAGUCCAGUCUGUUUUCCUGGGGUGUGAUCACAUUGCCUUUCGUCAGCUCUCGAACUUGUGAAUGAAAGGUGUCGAGUUUUUGACUCUGAAAAAAGCAUCUUAAUGUGCAAGUGCACAGAACGGUGCAUGAAAUGUUAGCAUAUUGUGUUACUUAUUCGUUGUUGCAAUUUGAUAAUAACGAGUUUUCUUUUUUUAAUGAAAAAUAUAUAUGAAUAUAUACAUUAUAUACAAAGUUUAAAAAGUAUUUGGACUAAGAUAAUGAGCACUUGGGGCUGCUAUUUUUGUUUUUAAUUUUUUUUCCUUAAUUUUUUUGUUUCAUUAUCGCCAUGUGAAGUGUGUAUUAUUUCUUUCUUAAGAAAAUAUUGAAUGUAUUCCAAAAAAAUGACAAGAAACCCGUGCUGAUACCAGAUAUUAUUGUUUUUCCUCAGAAGAUUUCAAAAAUGGAAACAAUACAAAAAAGCUUCAGAGUUCAGCGAGGUCUUUUUUUAUUAUUUUCAUAGUAGAGAAGAAAAAAAAACUUGGGAUGGAAACAGUUGAACACACUGCCUCUACAAUCCUGGUCGUACAAAUAGUGACUAAGAAUUCAAAGAAAGGACUCUUUCUAUUCCAUACUGGAGCUUUGGUUGUUUACAAACCACAUGGAUAUCUGUGGGUGCAGUUUUGUUUUUGUUUCAAUGUUUGUUUUUUUUUGGUUAAAAUGAGACGGGUGGGGUUUGCAAGUGCGCUUCUGCCAUAUGGACAUUGAGUGGCUUUGGAUUUUUUUUGAGGAAGAGUAGCAGGCAUCACAACAACAACACGGACACAAUCCUCAAACUGGACCGUAGCGUGUGGUCGUGGAUCCUGAAACUCGAUGAUCAACCGUGGAGCAGAGGUGGAAAAAUCAAGGAUUGCCUCUGUUAUGUGGCGAACGGAGUGCAGGGCCGCAGAACCCUAGAGGGAACUGCAAGGGCGACAUGAGUACACCUGGUUUGUGCACUUGUCUUCACCUCAACCCUCAAGCACUCACACCCUGCCCUCAACAACUCACCUAUGCACUUUUGUUCAUUCAAGCUGUGAGGUACCAUUUCGGGGAUGGGAGCACAAUUACAACAGGAGGAUUGCUGCGACUUUGACAAAGUCACUGAAAAGAUAUUCCCAAACUGAAAUAAGAGACUAGAGAAGCUCCUCUUCUCUCACCUCCUGUAUAUAGUCAUAUUUUUGUAUUACCUUUCAGAGUAGAAAGAAAAUUUACAAAUGGAUGAAGGAAAAUUCAUGGGACAUUUGAUUACAUGGAGUGAAUGUUCUUCAAGAAAACCAAUCUUUUAUAUUUUUUUUUUGGAAAAUGGUUUGAGAAAGACUGAGUCUUUGCUGUGAAUUUCCCUUAGUUUGCCAGUAACCCUGAAAUAACCAGGGAUGGAAGGGAAAACCACACGGACUGAGGUGCUGGACAUGCUGCAGUGUCCCCAAGACUCACUGAUGGUUGCUUUUGGAAGUUGAUGUUGCUGUGGUUGCAAAGCUCCCAACGAGUGUUCGCCGACACACCCCGAAGAGCUUUGGAUGAGGAUGCUUCCACUUCAUCUCCUGACCCGGUGACUGCCUUGAGAGCUGUAGCAUGACUGCAGGAGGAUAAAUUCUUGACAUUGGCUUCUGGCUGUGCUUUGUUUGCUGCCCUCUACAAGGAGGAUCUGAUCUACAGCCAAGCCAAGAAACCAGUCAACCCUAAACCUGGCCUUUGAACUUAAACCCUAAGAAACUUUUCUGUCUCAACCUCGGACUGGGCAGGCAGGCCAUUGGCAUUAUCAGUUUGACAGCGGCCGGAUGAAGUUUAUCAACCAUGGAUUUCAUCUGUGUUGGAAGUGUUAGGAUGGGCAUUUGAUCAAGCGCUCUUUGGCAAGAGUAUAAAUGAAACACAAGUUGCCCAGAUGUCAUCAUCCAGCUCGGCGUGAAACUCUCAGGCGGUUUGUUGGAGGUCUUCUAACCAGAGCGGCCAGAGGAGCUGCCCUCCUGCCCAGACGUCACAGACGGGAGAGCUGGGUCGGGGUUCGGCUGUUGUGGCUGGAUUACAUCUAAGCCACUGUAAAUCCCUGCAGCUGUGGAACUGGUUGAACUGAAUGAAUUGUACAAAAAAAAAAAAAAUGACUUUGAAACAUGACAAAACACAAACACGUAGCUACAUGUCACAUAGAUUCAGGAGUCCAAAGGAGUGGCAGACACUACACGCACACUUGGAGCAAAAGCAACGUACACUCAGUUACAUUGGUUCUCCUCUGGAAGCACGUCUGCACACAUGACAGGGCUACACCGAUAGCAAAUCACACAAGACAAAUGCAGACUCACAAGCAUCGACGCUCAUCACUAUAAAUGCUGAGCUUUGUAAAUAAUGUAAACGUUUGUGUUUUUGAUUUUCCUCGAUAGGUUUUGCUUUAUUUCUCUGUUCAACAUGCCUUAAAUUGUAUAGUUCAGUCCAGAACAGCAAACUGAAAAUGUUCUCGAAAAGAUGAGUUUGAGUUGGAAACCACCGUGUCAGCCAUCCUCUAAAGUUAAAGAAAGAAGAGCUUUCGUCAACACUGUUUUCUUUCGGCUAACAGAACUGUCUAUUCUGUAUUAUAUUGCUAAAAUGUACAUCUGAUCACCAUGAAAGUUCUGAGUUCGCUGCAGUAACAUGCAGCAACGUGUUCUUUGAUUAAUCUGAUUUUGCUGGUGGUUGGCUUACGUUGCCCUUUUGGUUUCCUUAAAAAAUUAAGAGUGGGUUUGUUUUGAUUUUCUUUGUAGGUUAUUGCUUAAAGUGCGGGUUGAAAUCUGUACUGUGUGGAGCUGAGCUGAGGGUGGGAUGCACUGACGUGUGGCUGUGCGAUGACUAUUGUUGGGGACACUGCUCUAGGCUAAAGUGAACCAGAGUGGCAGGUCAUCCGAUAACAAGUUGGUGCUUUUUGGUUGUUUGUUUUUCUACACUCCAGGGACUUGAAUCAUUUAGACGAUGAGGUACUUUUUUUUACAGUUUGGAGAAGGCGAUUCAGGCUUGUAUUAGAGAAAAACUAUUUGUUGGUUUUGACACUAAACCUUGACGUGGGUCGCUUCAUGGUCCAGGCGGCCUCGGGUCACCCCUGGUCGUGCUGGGGUCCAACUCGGCUGGCACUGAAUAGAGAAGGACUCGGCCGGUCGCUUGUGUCUUAUCUGAGCGCAACUUCUCGCAAAUGUGGAUGGUGUCUUGUUCUGUGUAUCAAAUUGGAUGUGCGGGAGGAUGCACUUUUAGUCGACGAGUAGUUUUCCCUUUUAGUGUCUUUGAUUACUAAAAAAUAUGCAGUUUUUAAAUGGACAUGGCUAGAGAUAUUCACCAAAUACUAUCCGCUCAGACUUGUACAUUUUGAUUAGCUGAGGUUCUGGUAGAUUGUUAGCGGCCGUAGUCUGCUCCGGUUUGUCACAACUGUUGAAUUGAUACUGAAUAAAAAUACCAAAUGUUUGACCAUUUUAAAAGCUAUUACUGUGUGGGAUUAGUCGUUAGUCAGACGGUCUGUCUUAAAGGAGUAAACUGUAUUUGUCUGCAGUUUAUUUUACUCAACUACAAAGGCUUUUAUAUUUAGGGAAACUGCAGAAUUGUCGUCGAAGACCCCUGGAUGUUUGGUUGUUGUCUUUAGAAAAGAUCCCGUCCUCUAGUGAAGAUGAUAAUCUGGUUCACUGUAGCUCUGGAAACUGUAGCUCCAACAAUAUCGUCCUAGAAGACCUUGUGAAAGUUGUGUCCCAGUCCGCCUCAGCUCCUCCCGCUUAAUAAGUCUUUUUGAAUGUAAAAUAACAGCAUACAUUUAAUGAAACCGUUUUGGAAAAGAACAACUGAAAGAUGUGUAAAUAGUUUGGCUUUUGUUUGUUUUGAAGAACAAAAAUAAAUCCUGAAUCCUGAAUAAAUAGCAUUUAGCAGUGA